rnacentral:rRNA from 1 species
GACGAACGCUGGCGGCGUGCCUAACACAUGCAAGUCGAACGGAAAGGCACUGCUUGUGUGGGGUGAUCGAGUGGGGAACGGGGGAGUGACACGUGUGUAACCUGACCUAGACUUUGGGAUAACUUCAGGAAACGGGGGCUAAUACCGGAUAGGAGAUCCUGCUGCGUGGUGGGGGUUGGAACGUUUCUGCGGGUGGGGAUGGACGCGCGGCUUAUCAGCUUGUUGGUGGGGGAGGGGCUGACCCAGGCAUUGACGGGUCGGCGGCCUGAGAGGGUGACCGGCCACAAGGGUACUGCGGGACGGACCAGACGCCUACGGGAGGCAGCAGUGGGGAGUAUUGCACAACGGGCGCAAGCGUGAUACAGCGACGCUGCGUUCGGGAUGACGGCCUGCUGGUUGUAAACCGCUGUAGCUUGUGACGCCGCGUGAGUGACGGUAAUGGGUGAAUAAGCACCGGCUAACUACGUG